GACGAACGCUGGCGGCGUGCUUAACACAUGCAAGUCGAACGGUAAGGCCUUUCGGGGUACACGAGUGGGGAACGCGAGCGUGACACUUGGACGAUAUUACCUGCCCUUCGGGAUAAGGAUAGCUACCUGGGACUAAUACCAAUUGGGGAUGCGCGGUGCUUCUGGUGGGGUGGGAAGAUUUAGCGGUGGAGGAUGGGGCCGCGGCCUAUCAGCUUGUUGGUGGGGUAGUGGCAUACCAAGGCGAUGACGGGUAGCCGGCCUGAGAGGGUGACCGGCCACACUGGGACUGAGACACGGCCCAGACUCCUACGGGAGGCAGCAGUGGGGAAUAUUGCACAAUGGGCGGAAGCCUGAUGCAGCAACGCCGCGUGAGGGAUGACGGCCUUCGGGUUGUAAACCUCUUUCGGCUGUGACGAAGCGUGAGUGACGGUACCUGGUGAAGAAGCACCGGCUAACUACGUG
rnacentral:rRNA from 1 species